AGUGAACGCUGGCGGCGUGCCUAAUACAUGCAAGUCGAACGGAGAUUAAAUAGCUUGCUAUUUAAUCUUAGUGGCGCACGGGUGAGUAAUAUAUAGUUAAUCUGCCCCAUAGUGGAGGACAACAGUUAGAAAUGACUGCUAAUACUCCAUACUCCUUCUUAUCAUAAGUUAAGUCGGGAAAGUUUUUCGCUAUGGGAUGAGACUAUAUCGUAUCAGCUAGUUGGUGAGGUAAUGGCUCACCGAGGCUAUGACGCGUAACUGGUCUGAGAGGAUGAUCAGUCACAUUGGAACUGAGACACGGUCCAAACUCCUACGGGAGGCAGCAGUAGGGAAUAUUGCGCAAUGGGGGAAACCCUGACGCAGCAACGCCGCGUGGAGGAUGACACUUUUCGGAGCGUAAACUCCUUUUGUUAGGGAAGAAUAAUGACGGUACCUAACGAAUAAGCACCGGCUAACUCCGUGCCAGCAGCCGCGGUAAUACGGAGGGUGCAAGCGUUACUCGGAAUCACUGGGCGUAAAGGACGCGUAGGCGGAUUAUCAAGUCUCUUGUGAAAUCUAGUGGCUUAACCACUAAACUGCUUGGGAAACUGAUAAUCUAGAGUAAGGGAGAGGCAGAUGGAAUUCUUGGUGUAGGGGUAAAAUCCGUAGAGAUCAAGAAGAAUACUUAUUGCGAAGGCGAUCUGCUAGAAUUUAACUGACGCUAUGCGUGAAAAGCGUGGGGAGCAAACAGG
rnacentral:rRNA from 1 species